GGGCCGGUGGCGCAAUGGCAGCGCAGUGGACUUUUAAUCCAUUGGUUGAGGGUUCGAAUCCCUCUCGGCCCACCC
rnacentral:tRNA from 1 species